GUGUCUUCACUCUGUCACCGCCGCUCACUGAAGAAACUGUUGUCGGUCACUCUUAUUUAUAGCCUCUCAUCACCAACUGUCAACUUGUUCGUGCCUCGGUCCCCUGUCGACGCUCCUCCUCUUCUUGGUGUGCCACCAAAAGAAGCUGCUUUCUAUUGUAGCACACUUGUGGGUCGAUUCCAAGCCAUGCUGCCUGCGUCUGUAGACACAGACAGCGCGGCGCGGCACUGCCACCCGCUCCAUUGUCACAGAAUUUGAUUGACAGCAGCAGGAGCAAUGGCUCUCACUCCCAUCAAUCUGCCCUGUGAGAAGUAAGAAAGCGGAGAGCGACGCUGCUCUCAUGCACAAUGCUGGAUUGAGACCACGCUCAGGGAUUUCUGCUACGCAAGUUUUAGCAUGGGGACAUUACAUCUAUACAAAGCCUAAGUGGAACUUUAGUCAAACAACUACUGACUAUUAAGCCAAUUUUGCACUCUAAAUACCUUUUUACCGAAAUCAUAGCCAGUAAUAAAGAAGCUUUGCACUUUCCUGUA